rnacentral:rRNA from 1 species
GACGAACGCUGGCGGCGUGCUUAACACAUGCAAGUCGAACGGAAAGGCCCUGCUUUUGUGGGGUGCUCGAGUGGCGAACGGGUGAGUAACACGUGAGUAACCUGCCCUUGACUUUGGGAUAACUUCAGGAAACUGGGGCUAAUACCUGAUAGGAGCUCCUGCUGCAUGGUGGGGGUUGGAAAGUUUCUGCGUGGGGGGAUGGAUUCGCGGCUUAUCAGCUUGUUGGUGGGGUAGGGGCUUACCAAGGCUUUGACGGGUAGCCGGCCUGAGAGGGUGACCGGACACAUUGGGACUGAGAUACGGCCCAGACUCCUACGGGAGGCAGCAGUGGGGAAUAUUGCACAAUGGGCGGAAGCCUGAUGCAGCAACGCCGCGUGCGGGAUGACGGCAUUCGGGUUGUAAACCGCUUUCGCCUGUGACGAAGCGUGAGUGACGGUAAUGGGUAAAGAAGCACCGGCUAACUACGUG